GACGAACGCUGGCGGCAAGCUUAACACAUGCAAGUCGAACGCCAUAGCAAUACGGAGUGGCAGACGGGUGAGUAACACGUGGGAAAGUGCCUUUCGGUUCGGAACAACUGAGGGGAACUUCAGCUAAAACCGGAUACGCUCCUCGGGGGAAAGUUUACGCCGAAGGAUCGGCCCCGGUCAGAUUAGGUAGUUGGCGGGGUAAUGGCCCACCAAGCCGAUGAUCUGUACCUGUUCUGAGAGGAAGAUCAGCCACACUGGGACUGAGACACGGCCCAGACUCCUACGGGAGGCAGCAGUGGGGAAUAUUGGACAAUGGGCGAAAGCCUGAUCCAGCCAUACCGCGUGCGGGAAGAAGGCCUUCGGGUUGUAAACCGCUUUUGUCAGGGAAGAAAUCUUCUGGGUUAAUACCUCGCGAGGAUGACGUUACCUGAAGAAUAAGCACCGGCUAACUACGUGCCAGCCGCCGCGGUAAUAC
rnacentral:rRNA from 1 species